rnacentral:rRNA from 1 species
CGCGUAAGCAAUCUGCCUUUGUGGUGUGGAAUAACAACCGGAAACAGUUGCUAAUACCGCAUAACGCAGAGAGGAUCGCAUGGUCUUUCUGCCAAAGAUUUAUCGCACGAAGAUGAGCUUGCGGUCCGGAUUAGAUAAGUUGGCGGGGUAACGGCCCACCCAAGUCAACGAUCGGUAGCCGGACUGAGAGGUUGAACGGCCACAUUGGAACUGAGAUACGGUCCAGACUCCUACGGGAGGCAGCAGUGGGGAAUAUUGGGCAAUGGACGAAAGUCUGACCCAGCGACGCCGCGUGAGGGAAGAAGGUCUUCGGAUUGUAAACCUUAGUCAACAGGGACGAAGCAAGUGACGGUACCUGUGGAGGAAGCCACGGCUAACUACGUGCCAGCCGCCGC